AUACGGAGGACGCGAGCGUUAUCCGGAUUCAUUGGGUUUAAAGGGUGCGCAGGCGGCCGUGCAAGUCAGCGGUGAAAGCCCGGGGCUCAACCCCGGAAGUGCCGUUGAUACUGCAUGGCUGGAAUGCGGUCGAGGCGGGCGGGACGGGGCGGGUAGCGGUUAAAUGCGUAGAUAUGCCACAGAACGCCGAUGGCGGAGGCGGCUCGCCAGGCCUGCAUGGACGCUCGGGCACGAAAGCGUGGGGAUCGAACAGGAUUAGAUACCCUGGUAGUCCACGCCGUAAACGAUGGGCGCUCGUCGUCGGCGGCAGACAGUCGGCGGCCAAGCGAAAGCGAUAAGCGCCCCACCUGGGGAGUACGGUCGCAAGGCUGAAACUAUGACUGGCU
rnacentral:rRNA from 1 species